rnacentral:rRNA from 1 species
AUUGAACGCUGGCGGAAUGCUUUACACAUGCAAGUCGAACGGCAGCACGGACUUCGGUCUGGUGGCGAGUGGCGAACGGGUGAGUAAUGUAUCGGAACGUGCCCAGUCGUGGGGGAUAACGUAGUGAAAAUUACGCUAAUACCGCAUACGACCUAUGGAUGAAAGCGGGGGAUCGCAAGACCUCGCGCGAUUGGAGCGGCCGAUAUCAGAUUAGGUAGUUGGUGGGGUAAAGGCCCACCAAGCCAACGAUCUGUAGCUGGUCUGAGAGGACGACCAGCCAAACUGGAACUGAGGCACGGUCCAGACUCCUACGGGAGGCAGCAGUGGGGAAUGUUGGACAGUGGGCGAAAGCCUGAUCCAGCCAUUCCGCGUGCAGGAUGAAGGCCCUCGGGUUGUAAACUGCUUUUGUACAGAACGAAAAGGUUUCUACUAAUACUAGGAGCUCAUGACGGUACUGUAAGAAUAAGCACCGGCUAACUACGUGCCAGCCGCCGCCGUAA